rnacentral:tRNA from 1 species
GCCCGGGUGGUGGAAUUGGUAGACGCGCACGCUUCAGGUGCGUGUGGGGGAAACUCUGUGGAAGUUCGAGUCUUCUUCCGGGCACCA